UUUACCGGACACUAACAAAGAAAACGUUAGUAUACGGAGCGUUGAAGGAGGAUUUGCAGCCGUAUUAAAAUUCAGCGGCAAACCAACAGAGGAUAUUGUUCGUGAAAAAGAAAAAUUACUGAGGUCUAGUGUUCUUCCUGAAGGUCUCAAACCAAAAGACGGGUGUUUAUUGGCUCGCUACAAUGAUCCUGGUAGAACAAAAAGUUUUAUGAUGCGAAACGAGGUUCUUAUUUGGCUCGAGGAGUUUUCGUUGGACUAGUUCUUAUCAAGUUUGAUAUGUAGCCACUCAUUAAAGUAAGAGGUAUCCACCAAUAUAUAUGUAAUAUUUAUUUGUAUUCCAGAUUUGAAAGGUUAUUAAAGUCAUGUGGAUAUUCCCAAGCAAUCUUGUCUAGUUCUUAGCAAUAUAAAUAUAUAGUCCCUAUAUUGGUUCUACAGCCCCAAACAACUUUUUUUGUCUAGUAACAAGAUAUUAUCUUCAAGAAGUCACAAUAAUGAUGAUAGAUUUGACAACAUGUGAAGCAUUCGAGUAAUAGAGAUAAGAAGAUUUAUGGAUUGCUUGGAGCUAAGUUUUUUUUUACAGUAUGAUUCCUAUGGGAAAGAACGUUUUGUUUGUUUUUUUUUUUUUUGUAAACAUUUGAAACAUGUUUGAAACUUAUUAUGCAUUUAUUUGCUAACAUUUGUAAUAUGUUUUGGAUCGAAUUGAAGUUAUGAUAUUAUAAUUUCUACACAUUUUCAUUUA